rnacentral:tRNA from 1 species
UCGCUUGUAUCCCAGUGGUCAGCGCGCUUGGUAGUAAACCUAAGGUCCAGGGAUCAAAUCCCGCUGGCGCC